AGCAUAUCAAUAAGGGCAGGAA
rnacentral:rRNA from 1 species